AGUUUGAUGACGAGUCGUAAAUAGGACGAAACGCACGUCCUAGAU
rnacentral:hammerhead_ribozyme from 1 species